rnacentral:rRNA from 1 species
GCCGCGUGUGUGAAGAAGGCCUUAUGGUUGUAAAGCACUUUAAGCGAGGAGGAGGCUACCUAGAUUAAUACUCUAGGAUAGUGGACGUUACUCGCAGAAUAAGCACCGGCUAACUCUGUGCCAGCAGCCGCGGUAAUACAGAGGGUGCGAGCGUUAAUCGGAUUUACUGGGCGUAAAGCGUGCGUAGGCGGCUUUUUAAGUCGGAUGUGAAAUCCCCGAGCUUAACUUGGGAAUUGCAUUCGAUACUGGGAAGCUAGAGUAUGGGAGAGGAUGGUAGAAUUCCAGGUGUAGCGGUGAAAUGCGUAGAGAUCUGGAGGAAUACCGAUGGCGAAGGCAGCCAUCUGGCCUAAUACUGACGCUGAGGUACGAAAGCAUGGGGAGCAAACAGGAUUAGAUACCCUGGUAGUCCAUGCCGUAAACGAUGUCUACUAGCCGUUGGGGCCUUUGAGGCUUUAGUGGCGCAGCUAACGCGAUAAGUAGACCGCCUGGGGAGUACGGUCGCAAGACUAAAACUCAAAUGAAUUGACGGGGGCCCGCACAAGCGGUGGAGCAUGUGGUUUAAUUCGAUGCAACGCGAAGAACCUUACCUGGCCUUGACAUACUAGAAACUUUCCAGAGAUGGAUUGGUGCCUUCGGGAAUCUAGAUACAGGUGCUGCAUGGCUGUCGUCAGCUCGUGUCGUGAGAUGUUGGGUUAAGUCCCGCAACGAGCGCAACCCUUUUCCUUACUUGCCAGCAUUUCGGAUGGGAACUUUAAGGAUACUGCCAGUGACAAACU